rnacentral:lncRNA from 1 species
GAAAAUACUUGACACUAGAGCUAUGACAUAAGCAUGAGGGUUUCCUAAAGGGUUGUUCGAGGGUCCUCAUUCCUCAUUUGGAUCUGUUUAAUCAUGUGCACCCCAUCGCUUCGCUCCUACCUGUAUCAUAAAACUGAUUUCAAUCACUUCCGAUGUUGAGAUGGGACCUCACAAAGCAGUCAGCAUGGCCUUUAAAGAUGUCAAUUCAUCCAACCCUAUGUUAUGAGCUCAUUUCUUCUCCCACGUUUAACCUUACUGUAAGGGAUCCAAGAAUGAGACAUUCCUGGCUAAACCUACAUGUGAGAGGGCUAACUUUACCUCCAUGGGGGUAAUAAGGCCUCACCUAUAUUGCAAUGCAAGUUGGACUGCUCCUGGAUCCAGUACUCAGGUCUUGUUUCUCUCUUGGACGUAGCUUCAAGUUUGAUUAGGCAUCCUUUUAGCUCAAAUAAUGUGAUCAAACUUUUCGAGUUCAGUUUACCUGCGAAGGUUACCGUCGCCCAACCAUCGGGGACUGCCCGUAGUCAUGCCCUUUCCCUUUGAAACCUACCAAUAAAGGCCCCCAAAUAUUUCUGCGUCUCCUUGCCUCACCUCGAAUAUGUCAACUCAUGUCGUGCUAGAGGAAGUCGCAGAGGCUUUAGGCUGUUUUGAUGAUCUUGUUUUGCUCUUCUUUGAGAUCUUGGAUGUGAACUGAGCCAACUCUCCCCGAGUUUGGAGACUCUCUGUUUUGGGUCUUUAUAUGGGUUGCAAAAGCCUUGAGGAGGGCGACAAAAGUUCCAAAAAGCUUCUACAACUCCGUUGCACCUUCUGUCCUUGCUUCUACAUUCACCUAGCUAUGCUCUCCCUGCCUCUUCAAUGCGUCCUCAUCCGACCUACUCUUUACUCGGCGUGGCCCAUUGCCUUUCAGGACCUAUUACCAUCUAGGUCGGUGUGGCCCAAUCGAGGUGUCUACUGUCCUUUUGGGGAGUGACGUCUCCAAAGCACCUCCCUUGCAUGUCAUACCCCGAUUCUUUCUGCAAAGCAAAAACACAAAAGGAAUCCACAAGUGGGGACGAAGCUGAGAACCUACGCACUGUUUUGGCCCCACGGUGGGCACCAAAUUGUUUACAUUCUUAUUGGUAUAGUUGAAUUUAUUUGUCAGUCAAGAGCACAUAUUACGGUCUUAGCUUCGGAUUAGUAGUGAAUGUGAGAGAAAGUAUAAAGAACAUAAGAUUAAGAUUAGACAAAUCGAAUGACCAGAGGAAUAAGUGCAAAUCUUAUAACACGAGUCGAGUAGCAAAUCCUCGUAAAUACAAGUAAAGCGAGGCCGAGCUGGAAUAUAACAACAAAGAGAUUGUAAAACAACUAAAGAAAAUAGAACAAAUUCAUAAGAAUCAAGCUAAAUAUUUUAUUAUUUCUAGGGUAAGGAUUAGCAAAUUUGAUUCUUGAUAAAGGGAGGGGUAUCUAUUUUAUAGGAUAUAAGAGUUGCCUAUGGCCAAUAAGAGAUUGCCACCUGCCUUAAGGCAGUUCGAGUGCAUCCAGUUCUUCAGCAUGUACCAUACGCGACUCUAUUGAGGGCUGGCGAUGCUUUUUGAAAUCCUCACAUUACAUCCUUUCAUUUGUCUCAUUUAUGGGUUUUAUUUUGUCAAUUUAUAGCAAUUUAUGGCCCCACUUGAUUUUUUUGUGGCUUUGCCGAAGUUAUUACUUUUUUAGUCAUUUCAGUAUGUUGAUAGAGAGCUACUCGCCAGUGAAUGUGAAUAGAAGAAUAGUAGCAUGCAUCCCUGCGAAGAUCCUUUAGUUCUGAGCGAUUGCUUGUUUUAGUCCAUACAACGCUUGACGGUUUUAAAAAAUGUCACAAUUAACCUUGUCACGAGCAUAUUUGUGGCGGUUCUAAUAAACUUCCACUACACUUCUAUAAUAUGACUUUUGAAUUUGUGGAGGUUUUUAAAAUCAAUUUGUGAUGAUUUAGAACCUUCACAAUAUGAUCUCAAUAUUUUAAAAAAUAGACUUGUGUGAAUUUAUAAUUGUCAUGAUAUGAAAUCAAUAUUUGCAUACUUUAAUUUAUGAAGGCUUACAACUGCCACAGAGUAUCAUUUUUUUAAAAUAAGAAAGAUGUGAUAUUUGAUUUACUUCAAGUUUUUAAAAUAUUAGGAAUCAAUAAUUUUACUAAAUAAUACAUUAAAUAUAUAUCAAAUUUCAUCAGAUUAAGUCAUAUUAAUAAGCUUCACAAGUCUAAAUUCAUGUUAAAUUGAAGUAAUACAAACUUGUGUAUAAUAACUUGAAUAUUACAAUUUAAAUCCUUAAGAAUCUACAUAGUUCCACAACAAAUAAACAUUAAAAAUCUAAGCAUUUUCUUAGUGAUUUGAAUUGUAAACUUGUAGUCACUCAGUCUUUUCUUUAUAGUGAAGUGAACUCAACAUCUGCAUCUGACUGAAACAAUGAAAAUUUUAUAAAUGAUUAGAUAAACAUAUAUUGAUGUGCAUCUUGAUAAAAAAAAAGUACAACAUUCAUUUCAAACACAAGUUCAUAUAUAUUUGACAAAUACAUAUAUAAAAGAUUAUAGAUGAAAGAAAAUUACUUUAACAGUGAUCAAACAUUAAAGAGCGAUUGAGAAAUUGUAUAAUGUUCACAAAAAAUUAUAGGAAAUUGCAAGAUUCUACUAAAAUAGCAAAUAUCAACUGGUUGAUAACAUUAUGAUAAGAACAUAUAAAUAUUUAAAAAGAUAUUAAAAAGAAAACAUAAACAUUCCUUAAGAUUACGUUUUCCAAAAUUAUAUAACGAUGCUCACAUUAUUUUAGCACAUUGAUACAAGUAUUAAACAUAAACAUUCCUUAAGCUUACGUUUUCCAAAAUUAUACAAUGAUGCUCAUUUUUUUUAGUAUAUUGAUUCAAGUAUUUUUCACUUCUUCUAAUUUAUAAAUUGGACUCUCCUUAUUUUCAAGUUAUACCAAUAUCGAACACAAUCUAUUUUUUAAAAAUAUCCUUUAAUUUGUCGUAGUUAAAUCAAUCAAAAUUACAUGAUACUUAACUAAACAAUAAGAAAAUUGAAGCAUACCUAAACUCGAUUAAUGGUCGAGUAUGAAUGAUUUCAUGAUGUUGUAAGAAUUCAAAAAAAUCCUAAAAUAUGUAAAAGUACAAUGAAUUAAGUUUACCAACUUACAAAGCAUGCCUACGAAUCAAAUAAUAAAAAGAAAAAAUAUAAAUUUUAAAUUCUAGCGUGAAUCCUCAAAUUCAAGUGACAAAAAAUUACCUUUAUAUUAAGAAAACUAUUUAACAU